GUGCCAGCCGCCGCGGUAAUACGUAAGAGGCAAGCGUUGUCCGGAAUCACUGGGCGUAAAGGGUACGCAGGCGGUCUAGCAAGUCAGAGGUGAAAGCCAUCGGCUUAACCGAUGAAGUGCCUUUGAAACUGUUAGACUUGAGAACAGGAGAGGAAAGUGGAAUUCCUGGUGUAGUGGUGAAAUACGUAGAGAUCAGGAAGAAUACCAAUGGCGAAAGCAGCUUUCUGGCCUGUUACUGACGCUGAGGUACGAAAGCUAGGGUAGCAAACGGGAUUAGAUACCCCUGUAGUCC
rnacentral:rRNA from 1 species